GAUGAACGCUGGCGGCGUGCCUAAUACAUGCAAGUCGAGCGAACUGAUUAGAAGCUUGCUUCUAUGACGUUAGCGGCGGACGGGUGAGUAACACGUGGGCAACCUGCCUGUAAGACUGGGAUAACUUCGGGAAACCGAAGCUAAUACCGGAUAGGAUCUUCUCCUUCAUGGGAGAUGAUUGAAAGAUGGUUUCGGCUAUC
rnacentral:rRNA from 1 species